rnacentral:rRNA from 1 species
GACGAACGCUGGCGGCGUGCUUAACACAUGCAAGUCGAACGGUGAAGGGACCAGCUUGCUGGUUCUGGAUGAGUGGCGAACGGGUGAGUAACACGUGAGUAACCUGCCCCCUUCUUCUGGAUAACCGCAUGAAAGUGUGGCUAAUACGGGAUAUUCUGGGUCUGUCGCAUGGCGGGCCCGGGAAAGAUAUUGCUUCGGUGGGGGAUGGGCUCGCGGCCUAUCAGCUUGUUGGUGGGGUGAUGGCCUACCAAGGCGGUGACGGGUAGCCGGCCUGAGAGGGGGGACGGUCACACUGGGACUGAGACACGGCCCAGACUCCUACGGGAGGCAGCAGUGGGGAAUAUUGCACACUGGGCGCAAGCCUGAUGCAGCGACGCCGCGUGAGGGAUGGAGGCCUUCGGGUUGUAAACCUCUUUCGCCAGUGAAGCAGGCCUGCUCCUUGUGGGUGGGUUGACGGUAGCUGGAUAAGAAGCGCCGGCUAACUACGUG